GAUGAACGCUAGCGAUAGGCUUAACACAUGCAAGUCGAGGGGCAGCGAGGGUAGCAAUACCUGUCGGCGACCGGCGCACGGGUGAGUAACGCGUAUGUAACCUGCCCGCAACAGGGGGAUAACCCGGCGAAAGUCGGACUAAUACCGCAUAAAACAGGGGUCCCGCAUGGGAAUAUUUGUUAAAGAUUUAUCGGUUGCGGAUGGGCAUGCGUACCAUUAGGUAGUUGGUGAGGUAACGGCUCACCAAGCCUUCGAUGGUUAGGGGUUCUGAGAGGAAGGUCCCCCACACUGGUACUGAGACACGGACCAGACUCCUACGGGAGGCAGCAGUGAGGAAUAUUGGUCAAUGGGCGAGAGCCUGAACCAGCCAAGUCGCGUGAAGGAUGACUGCCCUAUGGGUGGUAAACUUCUUUUACAAGGGAAUAAAAUGAGAUACGUGUAUUUUAUUGCAUGUACCUUGGGAAUAAGCAUCGGCUAACUCCGUG
rnacentral:rRNA from 1 species